rnacentral:rRNA from 1 species
AUGUGUUCCUAUUGUAGACCCAUCAAUGCUAUCACCGUUAGAUAUAGGUACCCCAUUCCACGCCUUGAUGAUAUGCUUGAUGAACUUAGCGGUGCCACUAUCUUUUCAAAAUUUGAUCUUAAAAGUGGUUACUAUCAAAUACGCAUACAAGAGGGUGAUGAAUGGAAAACCGCUUUCAAAACAAAAUUUGGGUUGUAUGAGUGGUUAGUCAUGCCUAUGGGUUUAUCGGAAGCACCCGGUACUUUCAUGCGUCUCAUGCAUUUUGUGUUUCGCCCUUACAUUGGUGAAUUUGUUGUUGUCUACUUUGAUGAUAUCCUUGUUUUUAGCAAAUCUCUCAAAGAGCAUGUCACCCGCCUUUGCAUCGUGCUACAAACUCUUCGAAAAGAGCAACUCUAUGCUAAUAUGGAAAAAUGCCUCUUUGGUGUUGAUAAGCUUGUUUUCUUGGGUUUCGUAGUAUCUUCUAAGGGUGUUCAUGUUGAUGAAUCUAAGAUCAAUGCUAUUAAAACUUGGCCCCAACCAACCAAUUUACAACAAGUGCAUAGUUUUCUUGGUUUACCCGGUUUAUACCGUAGAUUUGUGAAUGAUUUUAGCACCAUUGCUUCACCUUUGCAUGCUUUGAGAAAGAAAAAUGCACCGUUUGUUUGGGAAACAUCCCAAGAUAUCGCUUUCAAUGAGCUUAAGAACUUGCUUACUCAUGCUCCCAUGCUUGCAUUACCCAACUUUGACAAACCUUUUGAAAUUCAUUGCGAUGCUAGUGGUAAUGGCAUAGGAGGUGUGUUAACGCAAGAGAAGCGCCCCCAUUGCAUAUUUUAG